rnacentral:miRNA from 1 species
AACGUCGAUAUUCGACGUCAUAAGCACGAUCAACUUCGGUGUUUAUGACGUCGAUAUUUGACGUCAUAACCACGAUCAACUUAGGUGUUUAUGACGUCGAUAUUCGACGUCAUAAAUACGAUCAACUUUGGUUAUGACGUCGAUAUUUGACGUAAUAAACACGAUCAAAUUUGAUGUAUGUGAAGUCGAUAUUCGACGUCAUAAACACGAUCAACUUUGGUGUUGAUGACGUCGAUAUUCGACGUC